UUUGAUCAUGGCUCAGAUUGAACGCUGGCGGCAGGCCUAACACAUGCAAGUCGAACGGUAACAGGAAGCAGCUUGCUGCUUUGCUGACGAGUGGCGGACGGGUGAGUAAUGUCUGGGAAACUGCCUGAUGGAGGGGGAUAACUACUGGAAACGGUAGCUAAUACCGCAUAACGUCGCAAGACCAAAGAGGGGGACCUUCGGGCCUCUUGCCAUCGGAUGUGCCCAGAUGGGAUUAGCUAGUAGGUGGGGUAACGGCUCACCUAGGCGACGAUCCCUAGCUGGUCUGAGAGGAUGACCAGCCACACUGGAACUGAGACACGGUCCAGACUCCUACGGGAGGCAGCAGUGGGGAAUAUUGCACAAUGGGCGCAAGCCUGAUGCAGCCAUGCCGCGUGUAUGAAGAAGGCCUUCGGGUUGUAAAGUACUUUCAGCGGGGAGGAAGGGAGUAAAGUUAAUACCUUUGCUCAUUGACGUUACCCGCAGAAGAAGCACCGGCUAACUCCGUGCCAGCAGCCGCGGUAAUACGGAGGGUGCAAGCGUUAAUCGGAAUUACUGGGCGUAAAGCGCACGCAGGCGGUUUGUUAAGUCAGAUGUGAAAUCCCCGGGCUCAACCUGGGAACUGCAUCUGAUACUGGCAAGCUUGAGUCUCGUAGAGGGGGGUAGAAUUCCAGGUGUAGCGGUGAAAUGCGUAGAGAUCUGGAGGAAUACCGGUGGCGAAGGCGGCCCCCUGGACGAAGACUGACGCUCAGGUGCGAAAGCGUGGGGAGCAAACAGGAUUAGAUACCCUGGUAGUCCACGCCGUAAACGAUGUCGACUUGGAGGUUGUGCCCUUGAGGCGUGGCUUCCGGAGCUAACGCGUUAAGUCGACCGCCUGGGGAGUACGGCCGCAAGGUUAAAACUCAAAUGAAUUGACGGGGGCCCGCACAAGCGGUGGAGCAUGUGGUUUAAUUCGAUGCAACGCGAAGAACCUUACCUGGUCUUGACAUCCACGGAAGUUUUCAGAGAUGAGAAUGUGCCUUCGGGAACCGUGAGACAGGUGCUGCAUGGCUGUCGUCAGCUCGUGUUGUGAAAUGUUGGGUUAAGUCCCGCAACGAGCGCAACCCUUAUCCUUUGUUGCCAGCGGUCCGGCCGGGAACUCAAAGGAGACUGCCAGUGAUAAACUGGAGGAAGGUGGGGAUGACGUCAAGUCAUCAUGGCCCUUACGACCAGGGCUACACACGUGCUACAAUGGCGCAUACAAAGAGAAGCGACCUCGCGAGAGCAAGCGGACCUCAUAAAGUGCGUCGUAGUCCGGAUUGGAGUCUGCAACUCGACUCCAUGAAGUCGGAAUCGCUAGUAAUCGUGGAUCAGAAUGCCACGGUGAAUACGUUCCCGGGCCUUGUACACACCGCCCGUCACACCAUGGGAGUGGGUUGCAAAAGAAGUAGGUAGCUUAACCUUCGGGAGGGCGCUUACCACUUUGUGAUUCAUGACUGGGGUGAAGUCGUAACAAGGUAACCGUAGGGGAACCUGCGGUUGGAUCACCUCCUUA
rnacentral:rRNA from 1 species